UACGGAAGAUCCGAGCGUUAUCCGGAAUUACUGGGCGUAAAGAGUUGCGUAGGUGGCAUGUAAAGCGAACAGUGAAAGACCACGGCUCAACCGUGGGUACAUUGUUCGAACUCACAAGCUAGAGCACAGUAGAGGUACCUGGAAUUCCCAGUGUAGGAGUGAAAUCCGUAGAUAUUGGGAGGAACACCGAUGGCGUAGGCAGGGUACUGGGCUGUUGCUGACACUAAGGCACGAAAGCGUGGGGAGCGAACGGG
rnacentral:rRNA from 1 species